GACAGGUAGCAGACCUGAGAGGGUGACCGGCCACACUGGGACUGAGACACGGCCCAGAUUCUUACGGGAGGCAGCAGUGGGGAAUAUUGCACAAUGGGCGAAAGCCUGAUGCAGCGACGCCGCGUGAGGGAUGACGGCCUUCGGGUUGUAAACAUCCUUCAACAAGGAAGAAGCUUAACUCCCGCUACCUGCAAAAGAAGCUUCGGCUAACUACGUUCCAGCAGCCCCGGUAACUCUUUGGUCCAAGCGUUUUCCGAAACCUUGGCCGUAUAGAGCAUUACGCGGUGUGU
rnacentral:rRNA from 1 species